CAAAAAAUAUAACCAGCAAAAGGCUAGCAGACGGAACAGAGAAGAAAAAAACCAGUUGUAGUUCCUCGUAAAUCCUUCAGUGUCCUUUUGGAGCUUUGCGUACUUCACCCCAACUAUCCAUCCAUUGAACAUUCACAAUUUGGGAGCUAUCGCUUUGAUCGCCAAAGGCACAUGAUAACAGUGCACCGAAGGAGUAAAGCAGUGCAAGCAUGAACUAAACACAUCGAGGCAACCAUAGGGAAACGCGUGAUCUUACUCGGAGGUGGUUUUCCAACCGACAGAAACUGCCAGUGGUCGGUGCCCUAUGCCGUUUGCGUCCUCCAGUAACAUAUUUCCAGUAUUCCGCUUGUUGCUGCUUGCACUGCUGGUCACAGAGAAGAGGUUGUUUUAGUUUACGCUGCUCCUUCCACCUGCUAGUACCGUCCACACGCAACCACAGGUGCGACCACCAUAAUCUGGUGUGUUUUGCCCGUAAAUCGUGCCCUUGAUACUUGAGCUCUUCUUGCC